GGUUCUCUAGCUCAGUGACAGAGCAUCUACUUUGCACGCAGAAGGUCCCUGGUUCAAUUCCCGCAUAUCCUGGUAGGAGAGCAGCCG